rnacentral:rRNA from 2 species
GUCAACACAAGCAGCAACUAUAAACCGCUGCUCGCCAGAGAAGUACAAGUGAAAAACCAGAAACUCAAAGGACUUGGCGGUGUCCCAUAUCAACCUAGAGGAGCCUGUCCCAUAAUCGAUACUCCACGUUAGACCUAACCUGCUUUUGCCCCUCAGCCUAUAUACCGCCGUCGCCAGCUUGCCUAAUGAUAGGAACACAGCAAGCAAAACAGCCCUCACUAACACGUCAGGUCAAGGUGUAGCUAAUAAACAGGUUUCAGAUGGGCUACAUUUUCUAGCCAAAAGAAAAUCACCAAACGCACCAUGAAAUAUAAGCCGCAAGGUGGAUUUAGCAGUAAAUCGGGCAAGAAAGCCCAAUUGAAACUUGCCCUGGG